GACGAACGUUGGCGGCGUGCUUAACACAUGCAAGUCGAGCGGUAAGGCCCCUUCGGGGGUACACGAGCGGCGAACGGGUGAGUAACACGUGGGUGACCUGCCCUCAGCUCUGGGAUAAGCCUGGGAAACUGGGUCUAAUACCGGAUAUGACUCCAUGACGCAUGUCGUGGGGUGGAAAGCCUUGUGCGGCUGGGGAUGGGCCCGCGGCCUAUCAGCUUGUUGGUGGGGUGAUGGCCACCAAGGCGACGACGGGUAGCCGGCCUGAGAGGGCGACCGGCCACACUGGGGACUGAGACACGGCCCAGACUCCUACGGGAGGCAGCAGGUGGGGAAUCUUGCGCAAUGGGCGAAAGCCUGACGCAGCGACGCCGCGUGA
rnacentral:rRNA from 1 species